rnacentral:rRNA from 1 species
GGGGAAUUUUGGACAAUGGGCGCAAGCCUGAUCCAGCCAUGCCGCGUGAGUGAAGAAGGCCUUCGGGUUGUAAAGCUCUUUCGGCCGGGAAGAAAUCGUGUUCUCUAACAUAGGACAUGGAUGACGGUACCGGACUAAGAAGCACCGGCUAACUACGUGCCAGCAGCCGCGGUAAUACGUAGGGUGCGAGCGUUAAUCGGAAUUACUGGGCGUAAAGCGUGCGCAGGCGGUUUUGUAAGACAGAUUUGAAAUCCCCGGGCUUAACCUGGGAACUGCGUUUGUGACUGCAAGGCUAGAGUACGGCAGAGGGGGGUGGAAUUCCUGGUGUAGCAGUGAAAUGCGUAGAUAUCAGGAGGAACACCGAUGGCGAAGGCAGCCCCCUGGGCCUGUACUGACGCUCAUGCACGAAAGCGUGGGGAGCAAAC